rnacentral:rRNA from 2 species
GGAGGAAAAGAAACCAACAGGGAUUCCCCUAGUAACGGCGAGUGAAGCGGGAACAGCUCAAAUUUGAAAUCUGGCCCUUGGGUCCGAGUUGUAAUUUGCAGAGGAUGCUUUUGGUGCGGUGCCUUCCGAGUUCCCUGGAACGGGACGCCUUAGAGGGUGAGAGCCCCGUACGGUUGGCCACCAAGCCUGUGUAAAGCUCCUUCGACGAGUCGAGUAGUUUGGGAAUGCUGCUCAAAAUGGGAGGUAUAUUUCUUCUAAAGCUAAAUACUGGCCAGAGACCGAUAGCGCACAAGUAGAGUGAUCGAAAGAUGAAAAGCACUUUGAAAAGAGGGUUAAAUAGCACGUGAAAUUGUUGAAAGGGAAGGAUUUAUGACCAGACUUUUUCUGGGGGGAUCAUCCGGUGUUCUCACCGGUGCACUUCCCCCAGUUGAGGCCAGCAUCGGUUUCUGCCGGGGGAUAAAAGCUUUGGGAAUGUGGCUCCUUCGGGAGUGUUAUAGCCCGUUGCAUAAUACCCUGGCGGGGACCGAGGUUCGCGCAUUGCAAGGAUGCUGGCGUAAUGGUUAUUAAUCACCCGUCUUGAAACACGGACCAAGGAGUCGAACAUUUGUGCGAGUGUUUGGGUGUUAAACCCUCACGCGUAAUGAAAGUGAACGGAGGUGAGAGCCUUUAGGGGUGCAUCAUCGACCGAUCCUGAUGUCUUCGGAUGGAUUUGAGUAAGAGCAUAACUGUUCGGACCCGAAAGAUGGUGAACUAUGCGUGGAUAGGGUGAAGCCAGAGGAAACUCUGGUGGAGGCUCGCAGCGGUUCUGACGUGCAAAUCGAUCGUCAAAUCUGCGCAUGGGGGCGAAAGACUAAUCGAACCAUCUAGUAGCUGGUUACCGCC